UGUUCUUUGCAGUUAUAAAACUGGAACUUUGAUCCUGAAAUAAGCUUACCAUGGACAAGAACCUCAUUGAGGUGAAAAGUGCAACUCCUUGUGUUCUUGUUCUGGUUUAGAUAUCUGAAGAAAAUAAAUUCAACCCGAUUUUUAGAAAGAGGAAUCACUAAGGACCAAGUGAUUCUCACGGCUUCUAGAGCGUCUCUAACUGAAACCAAGAUGCCAUUGAUGCUGCACUUGUUGGGAUGCUAGCUGAUCCAAAAGAGGCACGUCUGGUAUUCAAGAAAUUCAGUUUCUACCAUUCAAUCCUACUGAUGAAAGGAAGGCAUUAACAUAGAUUGAUGUUAAUGGCAAAAUGCACCGUGUUAGUAAAGGGCACACCUGUCCGUCAAAAAGUAAGGGCACACCUGAGCAGAUUUUUCACCAUGUUCACAACUCGUCAGAGAUAGAGAAGAGGGUUCAUGAGAUUGUAAAUUUGCAGAGUGUGGGCUUACAUCGCUUGUUGUAGCUUAUCAG